AUGAAAAACCUUCAAGAAACCUCGUCCUCCAUACGAGAAGGAGCGUUUAGACGCCUAGUUGAAGCUCGUGAAGCUUUACUUCGAAGAAUGUUCCGUUAUGGAUUACUUGAUGAGACUCAGAUUAAGCUUGAUUGUGUUCUUACUUUAACUGUUGAGAAUUUUCUGGAACAUCGUCUUCAGACGCUGGUUUUUAAAUCUUGUAUGGCUAAGUCUAUUCAUCUGCUAGGGUUCUCAUCAGACAGAGGCAUAUAA